ACAAACGGACGAGGACGAGGACAAGU
rnacentral:piRNA from 1 species